AGUCGAGCGAACUGAUUAGAAGCUUGCUUCUAUGACGUUAGCGGCGGACGGGUGAGUAACACGUGGGCAACCUGCCUGUAAGACUGGGAUAACUUCGGGAAACCGAAGCUAAUACCGGAUAGGAUCUUCUCCUUCAUGGGAGAUGAUUGAAAGAUGGUUUCGGCUAUCACUUACAGAUGGGCCCGCGGUGCAUUAGCUAGUUGGUGAGGUAACGGCUCACCAAGGCCACGAUGCAUAGCCGACCUGAGAGGGUGAUCGGCCACACUGGGACUGAGACACGGCCCAGACUCCUACGGGAGGCAGCAGUAGGGAAUCUUCCGCAAUGGACGAAAGUCUGACGGAGCAACGCCGCGUGAGUGAUGAAGGCUUUCGGGUCGUAAAACUCUGUUGUUAGGGAAGAACAAGUACAAGAGUAACUGCUUGUACCUUGACGGUACCUAACCAGAAAGCCACGGCUAACUACGUGCCAGCAGCCGCGGUAAUACGUAGGUGGCAAGCGUUAUCCGGAAUUAUUGGGCGUAAAGCGCGCGCAGGCGGUUUCUUAAGUCUGAUGUGAAAGCCCACGGCUCAACCGUGGAGGGUCAUUGGAAACUGGGGAACUUGAGUGCAGAAGAGAAAAGCGGAAUUCCACGUGUAGCGGUGAAAUGCGUAGAGAUGUGGAGGAACACCAGUGGCGAAGGCGGCUUUUUGGUCUGUAACUGACGCUGAGGCG
rnacentral:rRNA from 1 species